CCUACGGGGUGCUGCAGUGAGGAAUAUUUCACAAUGGACGAAAGUCUGAACGAGCGACGUAGCGUGGAGGAUGACUGCCCUAUGGGUUGUAAACUUCUUUUAUAUGGGAAUAAAAUGUUCAAAGUGUGGGAUUUUGUAUGUACCAUAUGAAUAAGGAUCGGCUAACUCCGUGCCAGCAGCCGCGGUAAUACGGAGUAUCCGAGCGUUAUCCGGAUUUAUUGGGGUUAAAGGGAGCGUAGGUGGAUUGUUAAGUCAGUUGUGAAAGGUUGCGGCUCAACCGUAAAAUUGCAUUUGAAACUGGCAGACUUGAGUACAGUAGAGGUGAGCGGAAUUCGUGGUGGAGCGGUGAAAUGCGUAGAUAUCACGAAGAACUCCGAUUGUGAAGGCAGCUCACUGGACUUCAACUGACACUGAGGCUCGAAAGUGUGGGUAUCAAACAGGAUUAGAUACCCCUGUAGUC
rnacentral:rRNA from 1 species